AGCACCAACAACCAGAAGUGAACCAAAUGUCUCGACGUUCUCCUGUUCAAUUUGACCCCUUGACCUGGUCCCUUUUUCACCUGUGCUUAAGAAAGAGAGAGUCAAGGGAUUAACAAACACCACAAGUUUCAGCUCACAAGCUAUGGCCAUGCUGGGGCACCGCCAUUUGGUGUUGCUACAU